ACAUUUGGGCAGUACGCAUUCGGAGGGCUCUCUGGCUUUCCGAUCUUGGGUCGCUGUACUUGGCUCUGAAUACAGUCACCCCAUCAGAGUAGCAAAACACUGUGGUUGUAGUGUGAGAAUCCAAUGUUAAUGUUGGCCGAAAGCUCUUGAUUUUCUUCCCUGAGAACAUAGGCGUGAGGAUUUGGAUGUGUUUCCAAAUGCUUGUUACUCUUUGCCGUAAACCUGGAAUUUGGACCUAUGGCUGCCUGGGACUCAUACUGUCGUGGAGAAAGAUUGAAAAGUAGUUAAUGGCAGUGGUGGUAUGAAGGAUACAUUCGUGGAAGUGGAGUUAGU
rnacentral:lncRNA from 1 species